UUAACACCAAUCAGACUUUUAACCGGCGAUGCUCUCCAAACCUGCGUUGGGUGCAUACGCUCUUUGGGAACUUAGCACGGAGAGUUACAGUGUUGAGUUGGGACCUGCUCAGCUACAGGAAACACACCCAUACUGACAGACUUGUCAGGAUCUGAUUAUGUGUGACGAUUACCUCUUAUCUUGGCUUGCGAGUUUUUAAAAACAGUUUAUUACAACCGGGCUCUCAUGUGUGCGUAAUGGGUGUUUGAUUAGUAAACCCUUUAACUUCAGGAUUCUCCGUCGAUUUAGAUAAUGGUAUACUAGCGUCAUCUAGUUCCCUAUUUCAGUUCAAACCCAAAAGGUGUAGGUCUUCGUUGUGUCUACCAUGUGGUUGGCUAUGAAGAUGUAUUUUAUUCAGUUAAAUCAAUUGUUUGUAAUUAUUUGAAACGCUUCUGAAUCUUGCAAAGUUAUCGAAGUGUUGAAUUCAAAUGGCAACAUGCCGAUGGAGUCCCUCGUGGGCUACGUCAAUGUUGAACGGGCUCUGCAUGUUUGCAGCAAACAUAUUUUAUCUAGGAGAGUGGGUAUGGCAUUGUACAACUAUAGCCUAUUGUGUUCCUAAGAUGAAAUGUCCAAUCAUUUUUGAGAACGUGUAAACUUGAGGAUGAAAAAGAAAGCGCAACAGGGGUAGUCCUCUUCUUUCCAGACUCAGCAUUUUCUCGGUCCUACGUCACAUUGAGGAAUGUAUUUCCGAUCUAUACAUACUCAACCUACUAAUUAGGGAACGAGACGAGACGUUAGGACACCCUUUCAUCUUUAGUAUUAUCAUAAUGAAUAUACGGUAUGCUAUACAGGCCUAUGAUUAGUACCAGCCUGCGCAAGCGUUUAAUACAGUGAACAAUAUCACAUCGUUUUAAAAGCCUCCAAAAUAUUGUACAGGACUAUUGUGUUGACUUUUGCCAGUGUGUCUGCCGUACCUUGUAUAGAACAUUAUUUCAUAGUGAAAAGGCAACUGAUUGGUUGGAAGUGAUGAAAUGUUAACAAUGAAAGUAUGGAGAUUUUAGUGUAGUAGUGGUUAAUAAUAACCAGUGCCCAAAAAGUCCAGUUGGGAUAAUCAUCAUGACGAACUAUCUUUUGUCUUUAGCCUGUGUGUAGAUGGUGAUGCUUAGGCCUGCACCAAGUUUUAAUAGAUGCCAGCAUUACAGUGUAAAAAAUUAUGGAUAAUACUCAUUUCACACAAGUGAGAGGAGAGAUGAUGUUAUAGAAGCACUGAAUUAUGGAUGUCAAGUUAAGGGAUAUGUCUGCUGAAAAUGACACAUGCAUGACAAAGGUAAUACAUAUGUAUUGCUGGAUGCUUUCCCGUCUUUGAUAACGAGAUUCUGAAAUCAGUCUAGACAGCUAAUUCCUAAAUCCCUCAAGUACAUUGGACCAAAAUAAAUCUGCAUCAAAAUUAGGCAAUAGGGAACAAUGUCUAACACUGCACCAUAUUGUCUUAUUUACCCUAAGAACGGAAUCUCAGAUGUAGGCUAUACCCAUGCAACCUGAUAAAUGUACACUCUUAGCAAAGACAACCUCCCAACCAUACAUCCUACUUAUGUAUGGUUGUAUGUAUUAUGUCAGAAAUCAGAAUAUAGGCUGCUGUGGCUUCAGAGACAGCAUGGUAAAUUAAAAGUAUGAUAUUUCAUGUGUUUUCCCACCACUCCACUCCUGUUUAUGUACAAGCUAAUGCACAUUAUUGCACAAUGUUCAUAGUUUAGGACUUUAUUACAAAGUGGAUGAAUUACCUUAAUUUCUUUGUUUUUGCAAGGUGCACAGACCUCAUGUAUACAACUGUUCAAAGACUGCCAGUGAAUAUCCUGUUCACGGUGACAGUGGCUCAGGAGGAGCAGUAAUGGGAAGGUUGCCGGCUCGGUCCCGGCUCCUUCUGGCCUGGUGUCAAUGUGUCCUGAAGCAAAACACUGAACCCCUUACUGCUCCUGAUGCGCAGGUUGACGCCUUGCAUGGCAGCCUCCGCCAUCAGUAUGAAACAUGUAUGGGUAAAUGUGUGAGGCAUUAGCCUAUAAAGUGCCUCGAGCACCAUAAUAAGUGCUUUAUGAAAGCAUUUCCUAAUUAAGUUAUGUUUUUUGCUCGGUGCAACGUCAUUAUGGGGAAAAAAUAUGUAUGUUUAAGACAUGCAAUCUAUUGUCUAUUAUUGACCUUGAGCUGAAAUAUGGCUCUGUCACCUUUCCUGCGACCACACAUUAGUAUUCUUACAUCUGCGUCAUUGUGUGGCUUGGAAUUUUGCAAUGCAAACCUACAUGCUGGUGAUAGCUGUCCAGCUAUCCUCUAGUCAUUUGGUGUGAUCAUUAAAAAUAAUAAUAUGUAUCUGUUAAAUGCAGUUCAUAGGUGAAGAGAGCUUAAGUUUUGGUAUGAUGAACUGCUCAAUACUUUAUGGUUGCAUACCAGUCUGGGUCAGGCAUACAACCAUUUGUACUUAAGGAAUCUUGACACAUUUAUUUUGACAGAUUUAACACAAUAAUGAUAUAAAAU